CCUACGGAGGGCAGCAGUGGGGAAUAUUGGACAAUGGGGGGAACCCUGAUCCAGCCAUGCCGCGUGUGUGAAGAAGGCCCUCGGGUUGUAAAGCACUUUCAGUGAGGAAGAACGCCUGGUGGUUAAUACCCAUCAGGAAAGACAUCACUCACAGAAGAAGCACCGGCUAACUCCGUGCCAGCAGCCGCGGUAAUACGGAGGGUGCGAGCGUUAAUCGGAAUUACUGGGCGUAAAGCGCGCGUAGGUGGCUUGAUAAGCCGGUUGUGAAAGCCCCGGGCUCAACCUGGGAACGGCAUCCGGAACUGUCAAGCUAGAGUGCAGGAGAGGAAGGUAGAAUUCCCGGUGUAGCGGUGAAAUGCGUAGAGAUCGGGAGGAAUACCAGUGGCGAAGGCGGCCUUCUGGACUGACACUGACACUGAGGUGCGAAAGCGUGGGUAGCAAACAGGAUUAGAUACCCUAGUAGUC
rnacentral:rRNA from 1 species